UGGAUCCAGACUUUGAUUCUGGCUCAGGAUGAACGCUAGCUACAGGCUUAACACAUGCAAGUCGAGGGGAAACGACAUCGAAAGCUUGCUUUUGAUGGGCGUCGACCGGCGCACGGGUGAGUAACGCGUAUCCAACCUGCCCACCACUUGGGGAUAACCUUGCGAAAGUAAGACUAAUACCCAAUGAUAUCUCUAGAAGACAUCUGAAAGAGAUUAAAGAUUUAUCGGUGAUGGAUGGGGAUGCGUCUGAUUAGCUUGUUGGCGGGGUAACGGCCCACCAAGGCAACGAUCAGUAGGGGUUCUGAGAGGAAGGUCCCCCACAUUGGAACUGAGACACGGUCCAAACUCCUACGGGAGGCAGCAGUGAGGAAUAUUGGUCAAUGGACGAGAGUCUGAACCAGCCAAGUAGCGUGCAGGAUGACGGCCCUAUGGGUUGUAAACUGCUUUUAUAAGGGAAUAAAGUGAGUCUCGUGAGACUUUUUGCAUGUACCUUAUGAAUAAGGACCGGCUAAUUCCGUGCCAGCAGCCGCGGUAAUACGGAAGGUCCGGGCGUUAUCCGGAUUUAUUGGGUUUAAAGGGAGCGUAGGCCGGAGAUUAAGCGUGUUGUGAAAUGUAGACGCUCAACGUCUGCACUGCAGCGCGAACUGGUUUCCUUGAGUACGCACAAAGUGGGCGGAAUUCGUGGUGUAGCGGUGAAAUGCUUAGAUAUCACGAAGAACUCCGAUUGCGAAGGCAGCUCACUGGAGCGCAACUGACGCUGAAGCUCGAAAGUGCGGGUAUCGAACAGGAUUAGAUACCCUGGUAGUCCGCACGGUAAACGAUGGAUGCCCGCUGUUGGUCUGAAUAGGUCAGCGGCCAAGCGAAAGCAUUAAGCAUCCCACCUGGGGAGUACGCCGGCAACGGUGCAACUCAAAUGAAUUGACGGA
rnacentral:rRNA from 1 species